rnacentral:pre_miRNA from 1 species
UUGGCUCUGCGAGGUCAGCUCAAGGUGGGUCUGGAUAUUGAGCAGGCCUGUCAGGGCGUUG